GUAAGGAAUAUUGGUCAAUGGGGGCAACCCUGAACCAGCCAUGCCGCGUGAAGGAUGAAGGCGUUAUGCGUUGUAAACUUCUUUUGUAUGGGAAGAAUGACAGGGAUUCAUCCUUGGAGAGACGGUACCAUACGAAUAAGCACCGGCUAACUCCGUGCCAGCAGCCGCGGUAAUACGGAGGGUGCAAGCGUUAUCCGGAAUCACUGGGUUUAAAGGGUACGUAGGCGGUUAAUUAAGUCAGUAGUGAAAGACUGUCGCUCAACGACGGAUGUGCUAUUGAUACUGGUUAACUUGAAUCGGGUUAGAGUUGGCGGAAUGGGUCAUGUAGCGGUGAAAUGCUUAGAUAUGACUUGGAACACCGAUAGCGAAGGCAGCUGACUGAGCCUUGAUUGACGCUGAGGUACGAAAGUGUGGGUAGCGAACAGGAUUAGAAACCCGAGUAGUCC
rnacentral:rRNA from 1 species